rnacentral:rRNA from 1 species
UACGUAGGGUGCAAGCGUUGUCCGGAAUUAUUGGGCGUAAAGAGCUCGUAGGCGGUUUGUCGCGUCUGCUGUGAAAACCUGAGGCUCAACCUCAGACCUGCAGUGGGUACGGGCAAGCUAGAGUGCGGUAGGGGAGAUGGGAAUUUCUGGUGUAGCGGUGGAAUGCGCAGAUAUCAGAAGGAACACCAAUGGCGAAGGCACAUCUCUGGGCCGUAACUGACGCUGAGGAGCGAAAGCGUGGGGAGCGAACAGGAUUAGAUACCCUGGUAGUCCACGCCGUAAACGGUGGGUGCUAGUUGUGGGCUCCAUUCCACGGAGCCCGUGACGAAGUUAACACAUUAAGCACCCCGCCUGGGGAGUACGGUCGCAAGACUAAAACUCAAAGGAAUUGACGGGGGCCCGCACAAGCGGCGGAGCAUGCGGAUUAAUUCGAUGCAACGCGAAGAACCUUACCAAGGCUUGACAUAUAGAGGAAACGUGCAGAAAUGUACGCCCCGCAAGGUCUCUAUACAGGUGGUGCAUGGUUGUCGUCAGCUCGUGUCGUGAGAUGUUGGGUUAAGUCCCGCAACGAGCGCAACCCUCGUCCUAUGUUGCCAGCACGUUAUGGUGGGAACUCAUGGGAAACUGCCGGGGUCAACUCGGAGGAAGGUGGGGAUGACGUCAAAUCAUCAUGCCCCUUAUGUCUUGGGCUUCACGCAUGCUACAAUGGCCGGUACAGAGGGCUGCAAUACCGCAAGGUGGAGCGAAUCCCAAAAAGCCGGUCUCAGUUCGGAUUGAGGUCUGCAACUCGACCUCAUGAAGUCGGAGUCGCUAGUAAUCGCAGAUCAGCAACGCUGCGGUGAAUACGUUCCCGGGCCU